UGAAGAUUCACCUUGGAGCUAGAACAGGGACGUGCACAUGAUUAUACAGGGGCAGGGGCUCAAGUUUUUUCCAGUCAUUUAUACAAUAUGGAAAUUAAUGUGAAAUUAAACCACAAAUAUGUGUGAUGAACUGUUUUUAAAACUUAAACUUCAAAUAAAAAUUGUAAACUUCAAAACAUAUGCAAAUUUUUAACAAAGAACAUAGUAAUUUACCUCUAUUUACAUCAAAAUGCAGGCAAUGGCCCAGGCGUUCUUUGUAAAAUUAUUUACAAAACACUGUAUAGUCUCACAAAUGUCACUUUUUAUUUAUGCCACUACAAAAAAACAUGAUGUAAAUGAUGCAUGAUGUAAAACAUGAUGUAAAAAACUUGUGUAGAUCCUCCUCUAUGUCAGUCCAUGUGUAAUUUUUCCAUAAUUCUUUGUUUUUUGCAGCAUUUUUGUUAGUGUAACUGCAGAUUGUGCUGACAGUGUCUAUGGCACAAAAAAAAAAAAAAAUUAAAAUGCCUCAACAUGAACCCCUGGUGGUCUCUGAGGGUGAAACCUGCUAACUGCUGCAGCUCUGUCAGCUUCAGUCUCCCAUGCAGAGCUCUGAGCGCAUGUGUGGCUCUGCACCCUUAGCAGCGUUGCUAACUCCUCAGUAAGGAAAGCCUGCUUCAUGUCAGAGUCUCUAAACUCCAGAAGAAGUCGAUAAAAGUCCCUUUCUUUCUAAAAAAAAGUCGUUAGGGGGUCUGAAAAGUCAUUGAAUCUAACAACAAAGUCGCUAGGUUUGCAACUACGUGUCCCAGACUGCAUCCCUGCUGAGAGUCCCUCCCUCCCUUCUCAUGUUGCAGGAAGAACGUAAGCGCCCGCCCCUUGUCAAUCAGUCACCAUAUAAUUUUGGAUUGGUUGUUGUGGUGAAGUUUUCCACCAAUAGGAGAGAUGUUGUGGUGUGUUUUUUUUUCUUUUGGCAAGCCUUUUCCGCCUGUAAGACCUGUCGCUAAUGUCUGCAUGCUAUGUUUUCCUGUCUCAUACAGCGCGAUCGAGCGCCGAACGUGAUCAAAAUAAGCAGAAAAAAAGUAUCGCGGACAUAAUUUAUCAUAACUCUGGUUUUAUUUGGCCUAUCAACACAAUUUAAAAACUGGUAUAUAGGUUGAGGUCCUCACUUUUGAGAUAAGUUGAAACGGAGAGUCAACGAGGCUCCGUCUUGCAGCUACAUCCGGUUAAAUAUGUCAUGUGACUUGAACGCACACACAGACACACACACACGCACACACACACACACACACACACUCAGAGUCUGGUUUUUAGCACCUGCAAAAACAUGCUAUUUACAUAUUUGACAAGAAUGCAGAGGCUCCUUUUGCCCCUGAAAAAAAUCAAAUUUCAAACACAACUUGACUGGUCAUUUCUCCAAAAGACAACCAUGAAGCUCCAUCCAAACCUGAAGCAGGCAGUUGGUGCAUGUGUACAGUAACCUGAGGGGAGUGAGGUGAGUGCUUCUGAGGAGAACAUGAGCAGUGAAGAUUCACCUUGGAGCUAGAACAGAGACAUGCACAUGAUUAUACAGGGGCAGGGGCUCAAGUUUUUUCCAGUCGUUUAUACAAUAUGGAAAUUAAUGUGAAAUUAAAACACAAAGUAUUAAUAGAAAGGUAAUGACUGUCCUGUGUAGGUGACAGUGAUAUCCAAUAGGCUAAGCACUCACGAGGCUGGCUGUGGCAAGUGUAAGUGAAAGCAACACGCACUGGCAGGAAGAACAGCAAACGCCGAUGAAGGAAAAGGGUCUUUGCAGUGAUGGGCGUUAACAGAGAGGGCGAUGGCCAGAGGACACAAAUGGGACGGGGAGGCAGCACGUUGGGGGGGGGGGAGACGCGACACGGCUCGGGCCCGCCAGUGCCCCAACGGGGUCCUAGUUAGGGCCCGAGCGUAGCUGCUAAGCAGCUGCGAGAGCCCUCUUGUUCCUGAUGGAUUCUUCUUUCGUUAUUUUUCCUCCGCUUUAAACUGGAAAAUGGCCCACUUCCCACUGGCGAAAACUCAGGAAAUUUGGCAGGACGACCGGGCCUGGUGAAAAAUUUGAUAUUCUGAAGUCGCCCAAACAAAAAAAUGAAAAAUGGCUCCAUAGCGCCCCCUAUGGUGAAAACUCACCUGACGCCUGUACGCUUUGUCAAAAUGACACAAAAUUUGACACACAUGUGUAUCUCAAUAAGAUCUACAAAAAAGUCAGUGCGGGCGUAUCUGUCAAAUGUACGGUUAAAGGGCUAUUUCGCAUUUUUUGCCGAUCCGCACACAUUGGAAUUUCGCUAACUCCUCCGAAGGCUUUCGUUCCACCGGCACCAAAUUUGCUCAGGCCAAUCUACACCCCAUGGCCAUUAAAAGUUGUACAAAUCAUGACGCUGCACCCCACGGUUUAUGUUCUAGGGGGCGCCAAAAAUAACCCAAAAAUCCACAUUCUUAAAAGUCUUAUAACUUUUUAUUUUUGUCCUCACUGGCCUCCAAGUUUUCUAGGAUGAUGCUAUGUCCAGCCAUCAACACAUUUGUGAAGGAAUUUUUACUCCCCAAAAGAGCGCCCCCACAUGGCAGGAGAAAAAAGUCCAUUUUUUCUUGUCCCCUAAGGUGAAAAUACACAUUGUUGAGUGUCACACCUAUACGCUUUGUCAUAUUGACCCAAAAUUUGACAAUCACGUGUAUCUCAAUAAGAUCUACGAAAAAGUCAAUGGGCACGUAUCUGUAAAAUGUACGGUUAAAGGGUUAUUUCGCAUUUUUUCCCGAUCCGCACACAUUGGAAUUUCGCUAACUCCUCCGAAGGCUUUAGUUCCACCGCCACCAAAUUUGCUCAGGCCAAUCUACACCCCAUGGCCAUUAAAAGUUGUACAAAUCAUGACGCUGCACUCCACGGUUUAGGUUCUAGGGGGCGCCAAAGAUAACCCAAAAAUCCACAUUCUUAAUAGUCUUAUAACUUUUUAUUUUUGUCCUCACUGGCCUCCAAGUUUUCUAGGAUGAUGCAAUGUCCAGCCAUCAACACAUUUGUGAAGGAAUUUUUACUCCCGAAAAGAGCGCCCCCCCAUGGCAGGAGAAAAAAGUCCAUUUUUUCUUGUCCCCUAAGGUGAAAAAACACAUUGUUGACUGUCACGCCUAUACGCUUUGUCAAAAUGACACAAAAUUUGACACACACGUGUAUCUCAAUAAGAUCUACGAAAAAGUCAAUGGGCACGUAUCUGUAAAACGUACGGUUAAAGGGCUAUUUCGCAUUUUUUGCCGAUUCGCACACAUUGGAAUGUGGCUAACUCCUCCUAAGGCUUUCUUCCCACCAACACCAAAUUUGCUCAAGCCGAUCUACAUCCCAUGGCCAUUCAAAGUUGUAAAAAUCAUGCCGCUGCACCCCAUGGUUUACGUUCUAGGGGGCGCCAAAGAUGACCCAAAUAUCCACAUUCUUAAAAGAAUCCACCCCCCCCCCCCCAAGGCAGGAGAAAAAGUCCAGUUAACCCUGCCCAUCGCUCAAUGGCUCAAUCGCAUCGCUCUCCUGGCAACACCGUAAGGAGGAGCAACUUGCCAUUUGGAUAUAUCCUAGCUGUGUUUGUGCCCUCACUCAUGGUCCAGACUUUUUUCAAAUAGGACAUGUAGUUUGUCUGCAGCGACCGUUUUGGUAGAAACUGCACCUCCCAUUCAUUAUAAUGGGAAAUGACCACAGACAAGUGCGCACACCAUCUUUGGACCUUGAGUGUGAUGCGAUCGUGAGGGGGAGGCGGUCGCGCUGGGGGCGGCGCGACGCGGCUCGGGCCCGACAGUGCCCCACCGGGGCCCUAGUUAUUAGGGCCCGAGCGUAGCUGCUAAGCAGCUGCGAGAGCCCUCUUGUUCCUGCAUGUUUCCUUCUUUAGGGCCCGAGCGUAGCUGCUAAGCAGCUGCGAGAGCCCUCUUGUUCCUGCAUGUUUCCUUCUUUUGUUAUUAUUAGGGCCCGAGCGUAGCUGCUAAGCAGCUGCGAGAGCCCUCUUGUUCCUGCAUGUUUCCUUCUUUUGUUAUUAGGGCCCGAGCCAGCUGCAGAGCAGCCGGGCGUAGGCCCUGUUAUUCCUGUAGGGGUUUUUCUUUGUUUCUUUCUUUCUUCUUUUUCCUCCCCUUUGAACUGGAAAAUGGCCCACUUCCCACUGGCGAAAACUCAGGAAAUUUGGCAGGACGACCGGGCCUGGUGAAAAAUUUGAUAUUCCGAAGUCGCCCAAACAAGAAAAUGCAAAAUGGCUCCAUAGCGCCCCCUAAGGUGAAAAUUCACACUAUUGACUGUCACGCCUGUACGCUUUGUCAAAAUGACACAAAAAUUGACACACACAUGUAUCUCAAUAAGAUCUACAAAAAAGUCAGUGCGGGCGUAUCUGUCAAAUGUACGGUUAAAGGGUUAUUUCGCAUUUUUUGCCGAUCCGCACACAUUGGAAUUUCGCUAACUCCUCCGAAGGCUUUCGUUCCACCGGCACCACAUUUGCUCAGGCCAAUCUACACCCCAUGGCCAUUAAAAGUUAUUCAAAUCAUGACGCUGCACCCCACGGUUUAGGUUCUAGGGGGCGCCAAAGAUAACCCUAAAAUCCACAUUUUUAAAAGUCUUAUAACUUUUUAUUUUUCCCCUCACUGGCCUCCAAGUUUUCUAGGAUGAUGCAAUGUCCAGCCAUCAACACAUUUGUGAAGGAAUUUUUACUCCCCAAAAGAGCGCCCCCCCAUGGCAGGAGAAAAAAGUCCAUUUUUUUCUUGUCCCCUAAGGUGAAAAUACACAUUGUUGAGUGUCACGCCUGUACGCUUUGUCAAAAUGACACAAAAAUUGACACACACAUGUAUCUCAAUAAGAUCUACAAAAAAGUCCGUGCGCGCGUAUCUGUCUAAUGUAUGGUUAAAGGGUUAUUCCGAAUUUUUUGCCGAUUCGCACACAUUGGAAUUUCGCUAACUCCUCCGAAGGCUUUCGUUCCACCGGCACCACAUUUGCUCAGGCCAAAUUACACCCCAUGGCCAUUAAAAGUUAUUCAAAUCAUGACGCUGCACCCCACGGUUUACGUUCUAGGGGGCGCCAAAGAUAACCCAAAAAUCCACAUUUUUAAAAGUCUUAUAACUUUUUAUUUUUGUCC